rnacentral:rRNA from 1 species
CGUUUUGUGGGGUGCUCGAGUGGCGAACGGGUGAGUAACACGUGAGUAACCUGCCCUUGACUUUGGGAUAACUUCAGGAAACUGGGGCUAAUACCGGAUAGGAGCUCCUGCUGCAUGGUGGGGGUUGGAAAGUUUCGGCGGUUGGGGAUGGACUCGCGGCUUAUCAGCUUGUUGGUGGGGUAGUGGCUUACCAAGGCUUUGACGGGUAGCCGGCCUGAGAGGGUGACCGGCCACAUUGGGACUGAGAUACGGCCCAG